rnacentral:rRNA from 1 species
AUGCGAGUCGAACGAGAACGGAUUAUAGCUUGCUAUAAUUGUCAGCUAAGUGGCGCACGGGUGAGUAAUAUAUAGAUAACCUGCCCUCUAGAAAGGAAUAACAGUUGGAAACGACUGCUAAUGCCCUAUAUGCCUUUAAUACAUAAGUAUGCAAGGGAAACGCUUUAGUGCUAGAGGAUGGGUCUGUAUGGUAUCAGCUUGUUGGUGAGGUAAUGGCUCACCAAGGCUAUGACGCCUAACUGGUUUGAGAGGAUGAUCAGUCACACUGGAACUGAGACACGGUCCAGACUCCUACGGGAGGCAGCAGUGGGGAAUAUUGCACAAUGGACGAAAGUCUGAUGCAGCAACGCCGCGUGGAGGAUGACACAUUUCGGUGCGUAAACUCCUUUUAUAUGGGAAGAUAAUGACGGUACCAUAUGAAUAAGCACCGGCUAACUCCGUGCCAGCAGCCGCGGUAAUACGGAGGGUGCAAGCGUUACUCGGAAUCACUGGGCGUAAAGAGCGUGUAGGCGGGUAUAUAAGUCAGAAGUGAAAUCCAAUAGCUUAACUAUUGAACUGCUUUUGAAACUGUGUACCUAGAAUGUGGGAGAGGUAGAUGGAAUUUCUGGUGUAGGGGUAAAAUCCGUAGAGAUCAGAAGGAAUACCGAUUGCGAAGGCGAUCUACUGGAACAUUAUUGACGCUGAGACGCGAAAGCGUGGGGAGCAAACAGGAUU